rnacentral:tRNA from 1 species
GUCUCAGUAGUUUAAGGUAAAACACUAGUCUUGUAAACUAGAAAUAAUGUAAAUUUUGAGACA